UCAAACUUGGUCAUUUAGAGGAAGUAAAAGUCGUAACAAGGUCUCCGUAGGUGAACCUGCGGAGGGAUCAUUAGAAAAUCCAAACCCGCGUGUGCGGUACGGCUUCGCGCCGUCCGCCGCGCAACCCCUAUAUAUGCCUGGGCUUUCGUUGCCGGACCUUGCGUCGGGUGGCGGCCUAGUUGCUUACUAUAUACACCUGACUACUGCUGUGGGCCCUUGGGCUUGCGUAGUAUACUGAACCUUCUUUUUUCUUCCCUGUUGCUUGCAACGGAUGGAAUAAAAUAACUUUAAACAACUUUCAACAAUGGAUCCCUCGGCUCUCCCAUCGAUGAAGAACGCAGC
rnacentral:misc_RNA from 1 species